rnacentral:rRNA from 1 species
AGUGAACGCUGGCGGUAGGCCUAACACAUGCAAGUCGAACGGCAGCACAGUAAGAGCUUGCUCUUACGGGUGGCGAGUGGCGGACGGGUGAGGAAUACAUCGGAAUCUACUUUUUCGUGGGGGAUAACGUAGGGAAACUUACGCUAAUACCGCAUACGACCUACGGGUGAAAGCAGGGGAUCUUCGGACCUUGCGCGAUUGAAUGAGCCGAUGUCGGAUUAGCUAGUUGGCGGGGUAAAGGCCCACCAAGGCGACGAUCCGUAGCUGGUCUGAGAGGAGGAUCACCACAACUGGAACUGAGCAACGUUCAGGACUCCAACGGGAGGCAGAGUUGGGAAAUAUUGGACAAGGGGCGAAAGCCUGAUCCAGCCAUACCGCGUGGGUGAAGAAGGCCUUCGGGUUGUAAAGCCCUUUUGUUGGGAAAGAAAAGCAGCAGGUUAAUACCCCGCUGUUCUGACGGUACCCAAAGAAUAAGCACCGGCUAACUUCGU